rnacentral:rRNA from 1 species
UUGGGCCUACGGGGCGCAGCAGUGGGGAAUAUUGCACAAUGGGGGAAACCCUGAUGCAGCGACGCCGCGUGAGUGAAGAAGGCGCCAAGCGUCGUAAACUUCUUUUGUCGGGGAACAAAGGGCGCCACGUGUGGCGUUGUGAGUGUACCCGAAGAAAAAGCAUCGGCUAACUCCGUGCCAGCAGCCGCGGUAAUACGGAGGAUGCGAGCGUUAUCCGGAUUUAUUGGGUUUAAAGGGUGCGCAGGCGGGA